rnacentral:misc_RNA from 1 species
GAUUAAGAACGUAGCGAAAUGCGAUAAGUAAUGUGAAUUGCAGAAUUCAGUGAAUCAUCGAAUCUUUGAACGCACAUUGCGCCCGCCAGUAUUCUGGCGGGCAUGCCUGUUCGAGCGUCAUUACAACCCUCAGGCCCCCGGGCCUGGCGUUGGGGAUCGGCGGAGCCCCCCGUGGGCACACGCCGUCCCCCAAAUACAGUGGCGGUCCCGCCGCAGCUUCCAUCGCGUAGUAGCUAACACCUCGCGACUGGAGAGCGGCGCGGCCACGCCGUAAAACACCCAACUCUUCUGAAGUUGACCUCGAAUCAGGUAGGAAUACCCGCUGAACUUAAGCAUAUCAAUAAGCGGAGGA